rnacentral:rRNA from 1 species
AGAGACAGCAGUCGCCGCGGGAAUACGAAGGGUGCAAGCGUUACUCGGAAUUACUGGGCGUAAAGCGUGCGUAGGUGGUGGUUUAAGUCCGUUGUGAAAGCCCUGGGCUCAACCUGGGAAUUGCAGUGGAUACUGGGUCACUAGAGUGUGGUAGAGGAUAGUGGAAUUUCCGGUGUAGCAGUGAAAUGCGUAGAGAUCGGAAGGAACAUCUGUGGCGAAGGCGACUAUCUGGGCCAACACUGACACUGAGGCACGAAAGCGUGGGGAGCAAACAGGAUUAGAUACCCCCGUAGUCCCUGUCUCUUAUAC